rnacentral:rRNA from 1 species
UAGUUGCAAGGUAUAGACCCGAAACCCGGUGAUCUAGCCAUGGGCAGGUUGAAGGUUGGGUAACACUAACUGGAGGACCGAACCGACUAAUGUUGAAAAAUUAGCGGAUGACUUGUGGCUGGGGGUGAAAGGCCAAUCAAACCGGGAGAUAGCUGGUUCUCCCCGAAAGCUAUUUAGGUAGCGCCUCGUGAACUCAUCUUCGGGGGUAGAGCACUGUUUCGGCUAGGGGGCCAUCCCGGCUUACCAAACCGAUGCAAACUCCGAAUACCGAAGAAUGUUAUCACGGGAGACACACGGCGGGUGCUAACGUCCGUCGUGAAGAGGGAAACAACCCAGACCGCCAGCUAAGGUCCCAAAGUCAUGGUUAAGUGGGAAACGAUGUGGGAAGGCACAGACAGCCAGGAUGUUGGCUUAGAAGCAGCCAUCAUUUAAAGAAAGCGUAAUAGCUCACUGGUCGAGUCGGCCUGCGCGGAAGAUGUAACGGGGCUAAACCAUGCACCGAAGCUGCGGCAGCGACGCUUAGGCGUUGUUGGGUAGGGGAGCGUUCUGUAAGCCGUUGAAGGUGGCCUGUGAGGGUUGCUGGAGGUAUCAGAAGUGCGAAUGCUGACAUAAGUAACGAUAAAGCGGGUGAAAAGCCCGCUCGCCGGAAGACCAAGGGUUCCUGUCCAACGUUAAUCGGGGCAGGGUGAGUCGACCCCUAAGGCGAGGCUGAAAAGCGUAGUCGAUGGGAAACAGGUUAAUAUUCCUGUACUUGGUGUUACUGCGAAGGGGGGACGGAGAAGGCUAGGCUGGCCGGGCGACGGUUGUCCCGGUUUAAGCGUGUAGGGGGUGUGACCUGGUAAAUCCGGUUGCAUACUAACCCUGAGGCGUGAUGACGAUGCACUACGGUGCAGAAGUAGUUGAUGCCCUGCUUCCAGGAAAAUCCUCUAAGC